AAACGAACGGUCUAGAUCAACUAUUGGAAAAGAAGUCCGAAAGAACUAGGGUUAGGGCAAUUAUUCCUGUUUGCGAAGCUUAAUCGAUCACAGAUCGGUCGAUCCGUCAAUCUAGAGUUAGGGUUCGGAUUUCUAUCAAUUAUCUGAUGGAGAUGGAUUAUGUCACUCAGUUUCCUCACAAUCAUAUGGAUCGUCGUCCCAGGAAGAGGCCCAGGUUUGCUUGGGAUAUUCCUCAAGCUCACACGAAGGCUCAGUCAGGAUUGUAUUAUGGGCAAGAGGUUGGAAAUGGAA
rnacentral:misc_RNA from 1 species